UGGGAAACUGGCUUGCAGAGAAUAUGGUGAAGUAAGAGGAAGAUGUGAAAUAAAAUCUCCAUUCUACUCAGUCUUAGAAUAUUGUGUGGAGGUGUAAUAUUCUAGUUAUUCAAUUAGAGAGAUAAAGUCCUGAAAAACGAAAAAACCAACUAAAGUGCCAGCAUAUCUCAGGGUAAAGUGAGGAGAAUAAAGACAACUGAAGACCCCACUUUUUCUCAUCUCUUGUAUGAAAUGCAAAUUUGUCACAUUGAUCCUUAUAAGUUUAGAAGAUUAAAUGCUACUUUGCAGUAACAGUUGGCUGGCAUUGAAAUAAAUUCACGGCAACUACAGAGCGCUACAGUCUAGAGUCGACAUUCAAGUGUUUGGAAAAAAUAAAAGAAGGAAGAAAUAAAAGAAAAGAAAAGAGAGAGAAUGAAAGACGUGGUUUUCCGUGCACUCUUCUCGGUAGCAUUUGGGUGGUGAAGCAAUCAAUGGUCGCAGUUUUUGACAGCAAUGCAUUAUAUGGAGAGAGAUACUCAGCUCUAAUUCUUUACCCUUUCUCCAAGUUUUGUAACUAAAUAACCUUUUUAAAUAAAAUAUUGCAACAGUC